rnacentral:tRNA from 1 species
ACUAUUUUGACAGAUAAAUGUGAUGGUUUUAGAAAUCAUUUAUAUAUAAUUAAAUUAUGUAAAUAGUA